UACGGUGGGAGCAAGCGUUGUUCGGAUUUACUGGGCGUAAAGGGCGCGUAGGCGGCCAGCACAAGUCAGUUGUGAAAUCUCCGAGCUUAACUCGGAAAGGUCAACUGAUACUGUGCGGCUAGAGUGCGGAAGGGGCAACUGGAAUUCUUGGUGUAGCGGUGAAAUGCGUAGAUAUCAGGAGGAACACCGGUGGCGAAGGCGGGUCUCUGGGCCGAUACUGACGCUGAGGAGCGAAAGCGUGGGGAGCGAACAGG
rnacentral:rRNA from 1 species